GCCCCCAUAGCUCAGUGGAUAGAGCGUUGCCCUCCGGAGGCAAAAACCGGCGUUCGAGCCGCCGUGGGGGCG
rnacentral:tRNA from 1 species